GCCUUACCGUUAAACAAAAAAUGCCAAAGAAGUACGAGCCCACUCACUUUAAACUUUAAGGACCUGGCGGUACUCUACAUCACCCUAGAGGGGCCUGUCCCAUAAUCGAUAAUCCCCGCUCUACCUUACCAUUUCUGGCCCCCUCCAGCCUGUAUACCGCCGUCGCCAGCACGUUUCACAAGAAAUGAAGCUAAACAGCCCACCACUAACACGUCAGGUCAAGGUGUAGCUCAUGAAAUGGGGCGAGAUUGGCCACAUUACCUCAACGUACACAGAAACUGUAAUGAAACCACACAGUUGAAGAUGGAUUUAGCAGUAAGUGAGGAAAUGAACACCACACUGAACCCGGGCCCUUGAGUACGC
rnacentral:rRNA from 1 species